CCGCCCUCUCUGCCGUCUUCUUCCUUCGAUUCCCCUUUGCUACUUUCUAUCGACCCUCCGCUAUGGGACUGCAAGGCCGAUUAACAAUUGUGGCGACAGUAAGCCGCGAUGAUACUGCAAGACAAUGCGCCGAUCUCCACUCCUAGCCACUGGCGUGCGUGCAUAGCGGCUCGUUUGCUGUUGUAAGGUCUAUCGUCGCCACUGCUUGCUGCGUUGCAGCAUCUCCCUCCGCCGCCAUGCUCCGUCGCAGUAUCCAUCAUUGCCGCCGCGUGCUUUAUCGCAGCCCCCGUUGUUGUCGCUCUACGUUGCAGUGAAGCUUCGCCGACGACAUGGGAUGCUGCGGUGGAGCUUCGACGGGGCAACCGGUGCUGCGAUGGAGCACCGCCGCUCGGUGGUCGCGCUAUUGGGUAUUUCAGUUGUGCACAAUAACACUCCAUGGCAGCCAUUCUGUAGGUGUUAGUUUUCUUCAGAAGUUUCAGUAGUUUCAGAAACAUUCAGACUUUUAGUUCAAUUUUUUGUUAGCACACGAGGGCACGAUUGUGGUGUGUUCUGGGCGAAUAGGUAGUAGGCCAGCUGCACGACUUCGCCCAUGGGAUGGCUCGGGCAUGAUGGGGUUGUUGCUAGCAUUGUGGCAAGUCUUUAGAUCACUGAAUAAAAGGAUAAAAGAAAUAGAAAAGCAGCAGAACUUGCACUGCACAAAAUCUCUUCCCCGUCCUUGUUCGUCUGUGUGUGUGUGUUCAGAGAGUGAGUGAGAGAGAGAGAGAGAGAGAGUGAGAGAGGAAGGAGGUGGUCCAGAGAGCAUAUCCGGCAACAGGCGCUGCAGUGGAUCUUCACCGCCGUCCGUCGAGAUUGUGGCUGAAGACUGCAAGUUCGUGCGCUCUGGAAGCUGCUGCAGCCGCAAGGAGUUUGUGAGGGAAAUAAUGAAGCAAGUGAGAGCAGAAUCGGAGCAAUGGACUAAGUUGUAGGACAUGCUGGAGCAGGUCAGGCUAGAGAUGCAAGAGCUGCAGACUUCCACGGAUACAUGGCAGCGCCGUGCCAUUGCUUCUGACAUCAGUCUUGGUUCCUUGAAUUCUGAGGUUAGUGGGCUAUACUUAUGCUUGCAUCAUCAGUGCCUCGAAAUAUUUCUUGGGUUUACAUGCCUGUUGUGUUUUCUAUGAUAUCAUGUCAAAAGUGCAGCCAAUUUUGGAAUUCAGACUAAGAAGUUUUGGCUGAACAAAAGGAGUGAUCAUUUCAGAUGCUGGAGUGGAAACCACGCGCCACCGGGGCUGCAGUGAAGCGCUUGGGGUUGUUGAAGCUUUAGCGAGGGUUGCAAUGAAGCACCGCCCGGACGCUGCUGCCAUGGGAGGUGCUGCGACCCAUGUAUCUCGCCGACGGCAAAAGUUGGCAACGCAACACGCAUGGUGCUGCGCGCGCUGCGGCGGAGCUUCAAUGCAUCACCGGUGUUGCUAUGGAGCAUCCUCGGGCCGCCGGAGCAUCAUCGGUGCGGCAAUGGAGCAUCACGGAGCACUGCCGGUGUUACGAUGGAGCAUUGCCAGGCCGCCAGAGCAUCAUCGAUGCUGCAAUGGAGCAUCCCGGAGCGCUGUCGGUGUUGCUAUGGAGCAUCUUCGGGCCGCCGGAGCAUCAUCGAUGCUGCAAUGGAGCGUCACGGAGCGCUGCCGGUGUUACGAUGGAGCAUCGUCGGGCUGCUGGAGCAUCAUCGGUGAUGUAAUGGAGCAUCCCGGAGCGGCACCGGUGUUAUGAUGGAGCAUCACUGGGCCACCAGAGCAUGACGGGUGCUUCAUGGUCGCAGCGUCAUUACUGCAACCCGGUGCUGCAACCCCGAGCUCGCCAGCGCUACAGCCGUGGCCAUUGUGUGGCGAGCUUGUAGGCGUUUUAGUGUGAGCUGACCAGCGACGUGACUGCUGCAUGGCUAGUGCAAGCUAGCAAGCAUUCCUAGUGGUUGUAAUUGAACAUGUUAGGAUGGAGUGAUCGAUGCUGUGAUCCUACCGUGGUUCAUGGGAUUGUGCGGCUCUAAUCAAAUUCUGCUGGUACAAAUCGACGGCUGGCUAGGCGGAUGAUUUCUUCGGUUGAUCCCUAGCAGCCGCCAUUGUAUUAUCACUUUUGUAUACUUCAUAUGACAUUUUAUAUUGUUUUUAUGGACUAACCUAUUAACUCA